UAAGGCCUCUCACAGUGCACACAGCUGGCACGGUGCUAUGGGGCGCCACGUAGGAGUCGGUCUCGCGUGGAGGGAGGGCGCGCGUCCGUGGUGAGCUCCUCGCCCCCAUACUGAGCCGCGCGCAUCCUUCUCUCGCGAGGCGAGAAACCGAGGCGCGAGGCGAGCGCGUGCCCUCGUUUCCGCGUGCGCUCGAGGGCGGAUGCGAGCAGGAUUUCCGAUUUCGCCCUUCCAAAAUCGCGCUUCAACCCUAGUAUUUCCGUCUCCCGCGCCACUGCCUUCUCUUUCGCGCGCUCGUAUUUUUCCUCCAUUCCGUCGUCGGCUCCACUCCCGCCUCGCCAUCGCCGCCCUGAAGCCCCAAUCCAGGGCGGCCUCCCCGUCGCCGGCUGCUUUUCCCCUGUCGCUAUCCCCUCCGGAGAAGCGGCCGGUCGAGGUAUCCGUCGGUGGAGCGAGAUGGAUCCGAGGCUGGCAGACGCUUUCGCACGUUUUCUUCAAGAUCCAGCCGCCACCGCGGCGCUUUCUCAGUCGCUGAGCCAGCCGGCGUCAUUGCCUCCUCUUCCGGCGUUCCCGUACCCCCCUCUACCAUUCCCUCCGUUCUGCACCCAGCCACUGCCGUCUUCAUCUUCGGCUCCGCCGGCAGUCAGUGCAACGACGGACACACCGGGUUCAACGGGCAAGAAGGCAACUCCAAGUUUGGGACUGGCGGCUGGCUCUGCAGCGACGUGCAAGCCAUCCUCGAGCUCGAGAGCAGGACGCCGGCACCGUGUGACAACAACCCUUGCUCCUUCCCCUGCCCCUGGACCUGAAGAUGAGUCGGGUGGCAAGACCGGCAAGAUGUUAUACAGUCACGAAGAAGAUAUCAGGCUGGUAAGAAAUUGUACUUUCAGGUUUUAGUUGACGAUACAAUUGUGUAUGAUUAAUCGAUGCCAACUAUAAUUGAUUAUAGUUUUGUCUAAAACUUUGGUAGUGCGGUGAUGCCAACAAGUAUUGUGGAUUUUAGGUUUCAAUCGAUGGUAGUGAUGAGUAAAAUUAUUGAUGAUUGCUGCAUACAGAGAAGUGGGAUGUUGCUAGGGAUGUGGAAUAAUUAAGCUUUCUCAAUAGUGAAUUUGGGAUGUGCACUAUGAAGGGUAUUGUUUUUCA